GGGACCCACUUUAUAAAAACGGAGACGUGACGGUGGGGACGUGACCACAGCACUAAUCUCACCACACAUCACACCAUCAGAAGCGUCCAGUCCAGAAUAAUGGGACAGCCUACGAAGAUACAUCUGCUGGGCCAGCUCAGAGGUUCUGGCUCACGGGAUGAUGAAGAUAUGAAAAUUUGACUAUGGCACUGACAAGCCCAGAUGGCACCUCCAGGAGCUCCCCAUGCCCUCCUCUAUGGAUUGCUCAAGACCUUGAAUACACUUCCAGAGAAAAUUCAGACUUUGAGCUGGAGUUUAUCCCUGAUCUGAAGAUUGGCUUCAAGAGUUGUUCAUCAAGAGGAGUGAAUCACAGUCACUAAAGGCACCUUCCUGUGACAUUUUGGAUGGCUCCUGGAAUAAAUUUCUACCACUGAGGAACCUUGCUGGUGAGGCAGAAGUCUCUGUCUCCACAGAGAAAAAGCCAAAAGAAGGGAGUUGUGCAUCUACUUAGAAUAAGAGAAAACGGUUUCCAGAUGGCUAAUGAAUGGUUAGGUUUCUCCGUCACAUGGCAACAAGUCUUACUUCCUCAAAUGCUGGUUCUAAGGACUACUGUGAAAUCCUACUAUUGAGAUUCAUCUAGAUCCAAUUCCAUCUCAUUAUUGUGGAGAUACGGUGCAGAGAACAAUACAUGAAUAAAUACAACUGGAUUCUGCUCUACUGAAACUGAAAUCCACCAACAACCUAAGUCAGCUUAGAAACUGAUUCUUCUCCAGAGCCUCCAGAAAAUAACACAGUCUGUUCAACACCAGGAGUUCUGUCUUCUGAGACCCAGGGCAGAUAAAUCAGCUCCCUGCUCUUCCAAAAAGCAGAAGUUAAGUCAUUGCAAUUGUGGCAAACACUACAAAGAAAAGCCAGGAUAGUUUGUAAUAGAUGAGAAUGGCAGGACCUGAAUAGGAG
rnacentral:lncRNA from 1 species